UCAAGGAUCAGGACAGAACACAGACAACCCACCAUGGAGUCUGUGCUCAGGUGGAUUUACCUUGUCACUAUUUUAAAAGGUGUCCAGGGUGAGGUGGAGCUGGUGGAGUCUGGGGGAGACCUGGUGAAGCCUGGGGGGUCCGUGAGACUCUCCUGUGUCGCCUCUGGAUUCACCUUUAGUAGUUACUACAUGUUUUGGGUCCGCCAGGCACCAGGGAAGGGCAAUCAGUGGGUCGGAUAUAUUAACAAAGAUGGAAGUAGCACGUACUACCCAGACGCUGUGAAGGGCCGAUUCACCAUCUCCAGAGACAACGCCAAGAACACGCUGUAUCUGCAGAUGAACAGCCUGACAGUGGAGGACAUGGCCGUGUAUUACUGUGCGAGGGACACAGUGAGGCGACUUCAGUGUGAGCCCAGACACAAACCUCCCUGA